rnacentral:rRNA from 1 species
AUUGAACGCUGGCGGCAGGCCUAACACAUGCAAGUCGAGCGGAUGAAGGGAGCUUGCUCCUGGAUUCAGCGGCGGACGGGUGAGUAAUGCCUAGGAAUCUGCCUGGUAGUGGGGGAUAACGUCCGGAAACGGGCGCUAAUACCGCAUACGUCCUGAGGGAGAAAGAGGGGGAUCUUCGGACCUCACGCUAUCAGAUGAGCCUAGGUCGGAUUAGCUAGUUGGUGGGGUAAAGGCCUACCAAGGCGACGAUCCGUAACUGGUCUGAGAGGAUGAUCAGUCACACUGGAACUGAGACACGGUCCAGACUCCUACGGGAGGCAGCAGUGGGGAAUAUUGGACAAUGGGCGAAAGCCUGAUCCAGCCAUGCCGCGUGUGUGAAGAAGGUCUUCGGAUUGUAAAGCACUUUAAGUUGGGAGGAAGGGCAGUAAGUUAAUACCUUGCUGUUUUGACGUUACCAACAGAAUAAGCACCGGUUAACUUCGUG